rnacentral:rRNA from 2 species
CAGUAGGGAAUCUUCCGCAAUGGACGAAGUCUGACGGAGCAACGCCGCGUGAGUGAUGAAGGUUUUCGGAUCGUAAAGCUCUGUUGUUAGGGAAGAACAAGUGCAAGAGUAACUGCUUGCACCUUGACGGUACCUAACCAGAAAGCCACGGCUAACUACGUGCCAGCAGCCGCGGUAAUACGUAGGUGGCAAGCGUUGUCCGGAAUUAUUGGGCGUAAAGGGCUCGCAGGCGGUUUCUUAAGUCUGAUGUGAAAGCCCCCGGCUCAACCGGGGAGGGUCAUUGGAAACUGGGAAACUUGAGUGCAGAAGAGGAGAGUGGAAUUCCACGUGUAGCGGUGAAAUGCGUAGAGAUGUGGAGGAACACCAGUGGCGAAGGCGACUCUCUGGUCUGUAACUGACGCUGAGGAGCGAAAGCGUGGGGAGCGAACAGGAUUAGAUACCCUGGUAGUCCACGCCGUAAACGAUGAGUGCUAAGUGUUAGGGGGUUUCCGCCCCUUAGUGCUGCAGCUAACGCAUUAAGCACUCCGCCUGGGGAGUACGGUCGCAAGACUGAAACUCAAAGGAAUUGACGGGGGCCCGCACAAGCGGUGGAGCAUGUGGUUUAAUUCGAAGCAACGCGAAGAACCUUACCAGGUCUUGACAUCCUCUGACAACCCUAGAGAUAGGGCUUUCC